CAGUAGCCACGGUAAUACGUAGGGUGCAAGCGUUAAUCGGAAUUACUGGGCGUAAAGCGUGCGCAGGCGGUUAUAUAAGUCAGAUGUGAAAUCCCCGGGCUCAACCUGGGAACUGCAUUUGUGACUGGCGAGCUAGAGUAUGGCAGAGGGGGGUAGAAUUCCACGUGUAGCAGUGAAAUGCGUAGAGAUGUGGAGGAAUACCGAUGGCGAAGGCAGCCCCCUGGGCCAAUACUGACGCUCAUGCACGAAAGCGUGGGGAGCAAACAGGAUUAGAUACCCCUGUAGUCCCUGUCUCUUAUAC
rnacentral:rRNA from 1 species